rnacentral:lncRNA from 1 species
CCUGGCUGCCUGCCCACCCGGAGCCCCCAAAGCCUCGGACCCCUUCUGCAUGACUUUCCAGCCAGCCCUCGGGCAACUAAGGAGGAGUCACCCCUGCCUUAGCCUUCCAGCCCCAGGGCCCCCAAGCCCAGUCCCCACCCCACGCCUCCUCUAGGCCGUUACCCCACUGACACCUGGGCCCCUCUGCCGUCUCCAGGCAGGACGGCUCCACUGCCGAGGUCUCAGCAGACUCAGUGCCCACUUACAGCUGAAGAUGGGGCAGGCGUGAGGCUGCAGGGCCUGUGGUCUCCUGGGAAGGUGGGAGAGGGGACCACAGCUGCCCGGCACCGCCCGGCCUCGCCCGCCGGGACCCCAGACAACACCCCAGCAUUUGCUACCUGCUCCAUCACCUCCCUCCAGCCAGCGCAGCCCGCCUCCCGGCCUGCCGGGUCUCCCUCCCUUCUAUUUAGUCAGCACUCUAUUUAGUCAGGUGUUGGGGACCCAGCGAUGGGUGAGAUGCCCUCGCUGCCCUUAGAGGACGCAGGAAAGCCCAUGUUGGCCCCACAGCAUGGCUCCAGGGCCUCAGAAGAGGACCCCUGUUCUGAGCUUCAUUUAGGGGCAUCCUCUCAGAUGAAGGACCUGUGCCUGCACCCAGCCUGAGGGACAAGGGGCCAUGGUGGGAGGAGGCCCUUGGGAGGGGCGGGUUAGCAAGCAGACAGUGGUGCCGGGAGACACGACGUUGGUCGCGGCCAAGGGCCUGCAGAUGGGCGGGUGUGGGCCUCAGAGCUGGGAUCCCCAUGGCCCUGCCUCUGCCCGUCCAUCCUCCCCAGAGCCCAGGGGAGGCCCACCUCCCGGGGACGACAGUCCUGGUGCCUCCUGGGGCUGCUCCUGGUCCUCGCCCCUCCAGGAGAGCGCUGUGGGAGGGCCUCUGUCCCCGUGGAUGGGGCUCCUGCUCCUGCCCCAGCCCCCAUCUGGAGCUGCUUGCCAUUCCCGGGGUGGCUGCCUGGCUGCUGCCCACUGCCUGCGAGGCAGCAGUGCCAGAGGUGUAAGACCCCGGCCCCAGACUCUGGACAAGACCCCGGCCCCUCUUAACAGCCACUGCCCACUGUCCUGCUGCCUGAGGCUCCUGCCGUACUCUUCACCCCAGACCCAGGACCCAUGCAGCUCCUGGGGGUCCGGGCUCUGAUGCUGGCAGGUGGGGGCACCGCAGGUCAGGCCUACCCACCACAUUGCCGUCCCUAGAGCUGUCCAGGCAGGCCAGGCAGACUCCCACCAGCCACCCGGACACCCGAAUGGUGAGGUGUCCUGUCCUGAUGGGAAUCGGGCACCCCAGGUGCUCAGGCUCCCGUCGAAGGGUGUCUGUGACCUUCCUGUGGGGCUUCACCCACCCUACAGCUUGGCCACACGUGACCCUGGAAGACCCUGCCAAGAGUGGGAAGUGGGCACUCGGCCCUGAGCCUCCAGAUGCCAGGCUUCCUCUGACCCCAGGCCGGGCUCCCGGCACCCAGCCCGUCACCUCCCUGGCUGCACGCCCUACCUCUCGUGAUGCGCUCCGUGCCCAGCCUCCGUGCCACGGUGCUCCCACGCCUGCCCCUGUCGGCUCUCACCAGCCUGCCCGUCUGGGCUGGGGGUGCGGCAGGGCUGAGGCUGCUCCUUCCUCUGCCCCGCGCCCGCACGCCUGGGUCCCUCCUUUCUCCUCCGAGUCACUGACCACAGCGCUGCAGGGCCUGGCCCUGGGCCGAGGCAGCCCAGGAGACCUCC